rnacentral:rRNA from 1 species
GAUGAACGCUGGCGGCGUGCCUAAUACAUGCAAGUCGAGCGAACAGAUGAGGCACUUGCUCCUCUGACGUUAGCGGCGGACGGGUGAGUAACACGUGGAUAACCUACCUAUAAGACUGGGAUAACUUCGGGAAACCGGAGCUAAUACCGGAUAAUAUAUUGAACCGCAUGGUUCAAUAGUGAAAGACGGUUUUGCUGUCACUUAUAGAUGGAUCCGCGCCGCAUUAGCUAGUUGGUAAGGUAACGGCUUACCAAGGCAACGAUGCGUAGCCGACCUGAGAGGGUGAUCGGCCACACUGGAACUGAGACACGGUCCAGACUCCUACGGGAGGCAGCAGUAGGGAAUCUUCCGCAAUGGGCGAAAGCCUGACGGAGCAACGCCGCGUGAGUGAUGAAGGUCUUCGGAUCGUAAAACUCUGUUAUUAGGGAAGAACAAAUGUGUAAGUAACUAUGCACGUCUUGACGGUACCUAAUCAGAAAGCCACGGCUAACUACGUG